CGGGCCUAACCUGCAAAUAAAAAGGUAUGAAGUGGAUCCGGAGGUAAGUAUGCAAGAUCACUCACAAAUACAUGGGAGUUCUCGCUCUCGCUCUGCUCUGUUGAUCUUUUCUUUCUACUGUUCUCAAAGCUCUAGCUAAUUUAAUUAUUGGAGAGUCCCCCACUAGAUCACCCCCAGUGAGUAUGGAUUUUCUUUGCCAAUACUCUUCGACAUCAUAGAUCUUGAUUAGUGUCUAGCUCCAGCCACAUCAGCAUCUCACCGAAGCCUUGCGGCAAUAAAUUGGUGCUAGAGAAAAGAUCCAAGCCCCUUUUGAACAGCCGACAAUCCAACCAUCAUAAGCCAGAGUAGUGCUACUCAUGGAUCCAUUAUAGUGUAAUCCCCAUUGCAGUACUGACCAGUGCUAUGCAGUGGCUCCAAUAAGUGAUGAAGUAGCGGCAACAACAUGAGAAACCAAACCCUCGAUUGGUUCUCUCCCAUCUCAAUUGACAGUCUCAUUCCCAAAGUCUGAGAUCCGCCUUGUGGCGGCACUCUCAUCGACUCCAUUGCCACUCCAGUUCAUUCAUCUUCCCAUUGAAGCUUGAGGAAAGAGGUGCAUCCUGCUCCACCAGUGAUUCGAUCUCAUCCUACUUCCCUAAGUUUGAAAGAUCCUAAUGGGGGGAGG
rnacentral:lncRNA from 1 species